AGAGUUUGAUCCUGGCUCAGGACGAACGCUGGCGGCGUGCUUAACACAUGCAAGUCGAGCGGACUUUAAGAGCUUGCUCUUAAAGUUAGCGGCGGACGGGUGAGUAACACGUGGGUAAUCUGCCCUCAAGUGGGGAAUAACACAGAGAAAUCUGUGCUAAUACCGCAUAAUGUAUCUAGGCUGCAUGGUCUGGAUAAAAAAGAUUUAUCGCUUGAGGAUGAGCCCGCGGCCCAUUAGCUAGUUGGUGAGGUAACGGCCCACCAAGGCAACGAUGGGUAGCCGACCUGAGAGGGUGAUCGGCCACAUUGGAACUGAGACACGGUCCAGACUCCUACGGGAGGCAGCAGUGGGGAAUAUUGCACAAUGGGGGAAACCCUGAUGCAGCAACGCCGCGUGAGCGACGAAGGCCUUCGGGUUGUAAAGCUCUGUCUUCACU
rnacentral:rRNA from 1 species